GAUGAACGCUGGCGGCGUGCCUAACUCAUGCAAGUCGAGCGAAGCACUUACUUUAGAUUUCUUCGGAAUGACGAAGUUUGUGACUGAGCGGCGGACGGGUGAGUAACGCGUGGGCAACCUGCCCUGUACAGGGGGAUCACCGUUAGAAAUGACUGCUAAUACCGUAUAAGCCCACAGCUUCGCAUGAAGCAGUGGGAAAAACUCCGGUGGUACAGGAUGGGCCCGCGUCUGAUUAGCUAGUUGGUAAGGUAACGGCUUACCAAGGCGACGAUCAGUAGCCGACCUGAGAGGGUGACCGGCCACAUUGGGACUGAGACACGGCCCAAACUCCUACGGGAGGCAGCAGUGGGGAAUAUUGCACAAUGGGGGAAACCCUGAUGCAGCGACGCCGCGUGAGCGAUGAAGUAUUUCGGUAUGUAAAGCUCUAUCAGCAGGGAAGAAAGUGACGGUACCUGACGAAGAAGCCCCGGCUAACUACGUG
rnacentral:rRNA from 1 species